UACGGGGGGAGCAAGCGUUGUUCGGAUUUACUGGGCGUAAAGGGCGCGUAGGCGGCCACCGCAAGUCGACUGUGAAAUCUCCGGGCUUAACCCGGAAAGGUCAGCCGAUACUGCGGGGCUAGAGUGCAGAAGGGGCAACUGGAAUUCUCGGUGUAGCGGUGAAAUGCGUAGAUAUCGAGAGGAACACCUGCGGCGAAGGCGGCAUCCUGGACCAACACUGACACUGAGGAGCGAAAGCCAGGGGAGCAAACGGG
rnacentral:rRNA from 1 species